CGUCGGCUCGUGCCGUGAGGUGUUCGGGUUAAGUCCCAUAACGAGCGCCAACCCUUAUUCGUUAGUUGCCAUCUGGUAAAGCAGGGGACUCUAGCGAAACUGCCACCGUAAGGUGAGAGGAAGGUGGGGAUGACGUCAAAUCAGCACGGCCCUUAUGUCCAGGGCUACACACGUGUUACAAUGGCCGGUACAGAGGGCAGCUACCUGGUGACAGGAUGCUAAUCUCGAAAACCGGUCUCAGUUCGGAUCGAAGUCUGCAACUCGACUUCGUGAAGCUGGAUUCGCUAGUAAUCGCGCAUCAGCCAUGGCGCGGUGAAUACGUUCCCGGGCCUU
rnacentral:rRNA from 1 species